rnacentral:rRNA from 1 species
CACGUAGGGUGCGAGCGUUGUCCGGAAUUAUUGGGCGUAAAGAGCUCGUAGGCGGUGUGUCGCGUCGGCCGUGAAAAACCUGUGGCUUAACCAUGGGCUUGCGGUCGAUACGGGCAUCACUGGAGUUCGGCAGGGGAGACUGGAAUUCCUGGUGUAGCGGUGAAAUGCGCAGAUAUCAGGAGGAACACCGAUGGCGAAGGCAGGUCUCUGGGC